GAUGAACGCUGGCGGCGUGCCUAAUACAUGCAAGUCGAGCGAACGGACGAGAAGCUUGCUUCUCUGAUGUUAGCGGCGGACGGGUGAGUAACACGUGGAUAACCUACCUAUAAGACUGGGAUAACUUCGAGAAACCGUAGCUAAUACCGGAUAAUAUUUUGAACCGCAUGGUUCAAAAGUGAAAGACGGUCUUGCUGUCACUUAUAGAUGGAUCCGCGCUGCAUUAGCUAGUUGGUAAGGUAACGGCUUACCAAGGCAACGAUGCAUAGCCGACCUGAGAGGGUGAUCGGCCGCACUGGAGCUGAGACGCGGUCCAGACUCCUACGGGAGGCAGCAGUAGGGAAUCUUCCGCAAUGGGCGGAAGCCUGACGGAGCAACGCCGCGUGAGUGAUGAAGGUCUUCGGAUCGUAAAACUCUGUUAUUAGGGAAGAACAUAUGUGUAAGUAACUGUGCACAUCUUGACGGUACCUAAUCAGAAAGCCACGGCUAACUACGUG
rnacentral:rRNA from 1 species